UCUCACUGACACUCCCACACCACCCCCGCUAUAGAAGCAUCAUGGAAGGUAAAACUGCAUAGGAUUGUGACUCAUUUACUUUCCGAGGUUAUUCCUAAAUCCUUAUGACUGUUCAGGAAGUUCAACAUCCCAACUAACUGUAGAUUUCCAAGAAACACUGCUAUACUGAACUUGAGCACCUUUUACGGGUGAAAAACCUUCACCCUAAGGACCACAUCCCUUCAUGAGCAAAUGUUUGGGGACUGCAGGCCAGUGCUCUUUUAAAUGCCUUGUGGAGCUUAUCAUCAGAAUUACGUUUCUGAGCACAAUUCAAAGUGUUGGAGCUGACCUUCAAAGCCCUAAAUGGCCUUGACUCAGUAUACCUAAAGGAGCGUCUCCACCCCCAUUGUUCAGCCCGGACACUGAGUUCCAGCUCCCAGGGCCUUCUGGAGGUUUCCUCACUGUGAGAAGUGAAGCUACAGGGAACCAGGCAGAGGGUCUUCUUGGUAGUGGCGCCCGCCCUGUGGAACGCCCUCCCGCCAGAUGUCAAAGGAAAAAACAACUACCAGACUUUUAGAAGACAUCUGAAGGCAGCCCUGUUUAGGGAAGCUUUUAAUAUCUGAAGGACUAGUGUAUUUUAAUAUU